UACGUAGGGGGCAAGCGUUGUCCGGAUUUAUUGGGCGUAAAGAGCUCGUAGGCGGUCUGUCGCGUCUGCUGUGAAAACUCGGGGCUUAACCCCGGGCCUGCAGUGGGUACGGGCAGACUAGAGUGCGGUAGGGGGAGACUGGAAUUCCUGGUGUAGCGGUGAAAUGCGCAGAUAUCAGGAGGAACACCAGUGGCGAAGGCGGUGGUCUGGGCCGAUACUGACGCUGUAGAGCGAAAGCGUGGGGAGCGAACAGG
rnacentral:rRNA from 1 species